CGGGGAGAUGAAGGUCUGAGGCUCGGUUCUGUGAAACGUGACCAUGUGGAUUAAACAGCUCUUAGGAAUCAGUUCGAUGUCUGUCCACUGGUCGGGUUGCCCUAUAGGAAGCCAUGCUUGGAUACUUAUAGCCAUGUUUCAACUAGCCAUGGAUUUCCCCACCUGUGAAUCUCUAGCCCAAGGCCCAGAGUUCAGGCUCUUGCCUCGGCCUUUCCACAAUCCUAGAUUGUGGAAUUUUAAGAAUGGACUGGCAACGAAGAUCCCUACCCCUUUAUGGAACCUUCUUUCAUUCCGUCCUGAGCGUGCACAUGGACAAAUACGAACAUAUCAUUCCAGAGUGACCCACAGGACCAGGGACCAGGGGGACAUCCCUUUGAAAAGUGGGCCAUCGAAACACCCAGAAGCUGCCAAAUUCAACCCUUCCAUUCCGUCCUUGGUGGGCAGUGGGAGCAUAGAACAGCAGAAACCUUUAAGAAGAGACAAAAGGCAUCUACAAGGGGAUAGUUUGAAUAAUUUUGACUUCAGAGGGAACAAACCCACAGUGGAAACUGAAUUCAUUGCCUGGGGUCCCACAGGGGAAGAAGAGUCUGUAGAAUCUAGCACAUCUCCUGGGAUUUAUGGCCCCACCACUGUCUCCAUUUUACAAACCAGAAAGACAACUGUGGCCACUACCACCACCACUACCACAAGCUAUGUCACUCUACAAACUAAGGGAUUCAUGGAGUCCCUUAGUCCUGGGAUUAUUAAGAACAACCCUAACUAUCCGGGUAGGAUUAGCACAACAGAAGCCUCCACUGUUCCCAACAGCAAUGGCAAAGACAUCACGCCACCACGGAUUCUGGAGCCCUCGGGUCUGGCUGUCCAUCAGAUAAUAACCAUCACUGUCUCCCUCAUCAUGGUUAUAGCUGCUCUGAUUACAACUCUUGUCUUAAAAAAUUGCUGUGCACAAAGUGGAAACACUCGGAGAAACAGUCACCAACGGAAAAUCAAUCAGCAAGAAGAAAGUUGCCAAAAUCUGACGGAUUUCACUCCUGCCCGUGUGCCCAGCAACUUGGAUAUAUUUACCGCCUAUAAUGAAACCCUGCAGUGCUCACAUGAGUGUGUUAGGACCUCUGUGCCCGUGUAUACUGAUGAGACUUUGCACCCAACUGGGGAGUAUAAAAACCACCUUUAAUGGAAACAGCACGCGCAAGCCUAUUUUUCUGCUCGCUGCAGACCUUCUUCUUCUGAUCGACAUCUAAUUCCUGUGGCCUUUGUGUCUGAGAAAUGGUUUGAAAUCUCCUGCUGACUGGCCGAAGUCUCUUUUACUUCCUGGGGGCAGGGCAGACGCCAUGUGUCUAUUUCCUGGAUUCCGUUGGUGAACCUGUAAAAAACAAAAAAAAAAAAUGAAAAAAAUGAAAAAAAAAAAAACAACAAAAAAAAAACAAACAAAAAAAAGCCCUAAGACUAAAAACUGGGAAGAAUGUCCCUAAACCUACCAUUUCUGUUUGCCAGUGGAGAUCUCAUGGAGCAGAACUCUAUAGGCCAAAUAUAUUUUUAUAAAAAAAAAAAUGAACGUGCCUAUAGGCAACCUUCAUCGUCCCCAAGGAAUUUUUUUGAAGGGGAAGAAGAGAAAAGUUUCCAGAAAUAAGGGGAAAAAUGAUUCUCUGAAGACUUAAGGAAGAAAAGGAGACCAAGUGCAAAGAACAAGGUGGACAGCCUGGAGAUGUGGAUUUAAAUAAUGAUUCUGAACCUGUGCCAAUAACACCAUUACGUGCCAUGUAUUGAGCUGAAAGAUUUUGUUUCAAACAUGAAGCUAAGUUAAUUACACAUAGAAAUAUUACAGAAAACAGGGUUGGGGGUUUCUCUUCUGAGACAGUCAAUAUUUCUGGUUAAUAUACAUAUAUAAAUAUAUAAAUACAUACACGGACACACACACACAAAGACACCUUUUUGUACUGUAGCAAUUUUUGAAGCUCUUAAAUGUUCCUUUUUAAAGAAAAAAUGUGUCAUGGGUUACAGAAUCUGAUUUAUUUAACAUGCUUAGUAUGGACUAAAUAAACUGGUGUUUUUUACUUCGG